GUUAAGCGACUAAGCGUACACGGUGGAUGCCCUGGCAGUCAGAGGCGAUGAAGGACGUGCUAAUCUGCGAUAAGCGUCGGUAAGGUGAUAUGAACCGUUAUAACCGGCGAUUUCCGAAUGGGGAAACCCAGUGUGUUUCGACACACUAUCAUUAACUGAAUCCAUAGGUUAAUGAGGCGAACCGGGGGAACUGAAACAUCUAAGUACCCCGAGGAAAAGAAAUCAACCGAGAUUCCCCCAGUAGCGGCGAGCGAACGGGGAGCAGCCCAGAGCCUGAAUCAGUGUGUGUGUUAGUGGAAGCGUCUGGAAAGGCGCGCGAUACAGGGUGACAGCCCCGUACACAAAAAUGCACAUGCUGUGAGCUCGAUGAGUAGGGCGGGACACGUGGUAUCCUGUCUGAAUAUGGGGGGACCAUCCUCCAAGGCUAAAUACUCCUGACUGACCGAUAGUGAACCAGUACCGUGAGGGAAAGGCGAAAAGAACCCCGGCGAGGGGAGUGAAAAAGAACCUGAAACCGUGUACGUACAAGCAGUGGGAGCACGCUUCGGCGUGUGACUGCGUACCUUUUGUAUAAUGGGUCAGCGACUUAUAUUCUGUAGCAAGGUUAACCGAAUAGGGGAGCCGAAGGGAAACCGAGUCUUAACUGGGCGUUAAGUUGCAGGGUAUAGACCCGAAACCCGGUGAUCUAGCCAUGGGCAGGUUGAAGGUUGGGUAACACUAACUGGAGGACCGAACCGACUAAUGUUGAAAAAUUAGCGGAUGACUUGUGGCUGGGGGUGAAAGGCCAAUCAAACCGGGAGAUAGCUGGUUCUCCCCGAAAGCUAUUUAGGUAGCGCCUCGUGAAUUCAUCUCCGGGGGUAGAGCACUGUUUCGGCAAGGGGGUCAUCCCGACUUACCAACCCGAUGCAAACUGCGAAUACCGGAGAAUGUUAUCACGGGAGACACACGGCGGGUGCUAACGUCCGUCGUGAAGAGGGAAACAACCCAGACCGCCAGCUAAGGUCCCAAAGUCAUGGUUAAGUGGGAAACGAUGUGGGAAGGCCCAGACAGCCAGGAUGUUGGCUUAGAAGCAGCCAUCAUUUAAAGAAAGCGUAAUAGCUCACUGGUCGAGUCGGCCUGCGCGGAAGAUGUAACGGGGCUAAACCAUGCACCGAAGCUGCGGCAGCGACACUAUGUGUUGUUGGGUAGGGGAGCGU
rnacentral:rRNA from 1 species